AGGAUCAUUACCGUUG
rnacentral:rRNA from 2 species